rnacentral:rRNA from 1 species
AACCAAAGCUGGCGACCGGCGCACGGGUGAGUAACACGUAUCCAACCUGCCUCAUACUCGGGGAUAGCCUUUCGAAAGAAAGAUUAAUAUCCGAUAGCAUAUAUUUCCCGCAUGGGUUUUAUAUUAAAGAAAUUCGGUAUGAGAUGGGGAUGCGUUCCAUUAGUUUGUUGGCGGGGUAACGGCCCACCAAGACUACGAUGGAUAGGGGUUCUGAGAGGAAGGUCCCCCACAUUGGAACUGAGACACGGUCCAAACUCCUACGGGAGGCAGCAGUGAGGAAUAUUGGUCAAUGGACGCGAGUCUGAACCAGCCAAGUAGCGUGAAGGAUGACUGCCCUAUGGGUUGUAAACUUCUUUUAUAUGGGAAUAAAGUGGUCCACGUGUGGAUUUUUGUAUGUACCAUAUGAAUAAGGAUCGGCUAACUCCGUGCCAGCAGCCGCGGUAAUACGGAGGAUCCGAGCGUUAUCCGGAUUUAUUGGGUUUAAAGGGAGCGUAGGCGGAUUGUUAAGUCAGUUGUGAAAGUUUGCGGCUCAACCGUAAAAUUGCAGUUGAUACUGGCAGUCUUGAGUGCAGUAGAGGUGGGCGGAAUUCGUGGUGUAGCGGUGAAAUGCUUAGAUAUCACGAAGAACUCCGAUUGCGAAGGCAGCUCACUGGAGUGUAACUGACGCUGAUGCUCGAAA